AUUUAUGUAGUUUAACAAAAACAUUACAUUUUCACUGUAAAAAUAAAGGAACCUUUCAUAAAUA
rnacentral:tRNA from 1 species